GGCGGACGGGUGAGUAAUACAUAGGAAUCUACCCAGUAGCGGGGGGACAACUUGGGGAAACUCAAGCUAAUACCGCAUACGCCCUACGGGGGAAAGCGGGGGACCUUCGGGCCUCGCACUAUUGGAUGAGCCUAUGUCAGAUUAGCUUGUUGGUAGGGUAACGGCCUACCAAGGCGACGAUCUGUAGCUGGUCUGAGAGGACGAUCAGCCACACUGGGACUGAGACACGGCCCAG
rnacentral:rRNA from 1 species